AAUCAACGCUGGCGGCGUGCCUAACACAUGCAAGUCGAACGAGAAAGGGGACUUCGGUCCCUGAGUACAGUGGCGCACGGGUGAGUAACACGUGACUUAUCUACCCUCGAGUGGGGAAUAACUUCGGGAAACCGAGGCUAAUACCGCAUAAUACCCACGGGUCAAAGGAGCAAUUCGCUUGAGGAGGAGGUCGCGGCCGAUUAGUUAGUUGGCGGGGUAAUGGCCCCACCCAAGACGGUGAUCGGUAUCCGGCCUGAGAGGGCGCAUGGACACACUGGAACUGAAACACGGUCCAGACUCCUACGGGAGGCAGCAGUGGGGAAUUUUGCGCAAUGGGGGAAACCCUGACGCAGCAACGCCGCGUGGAGGAUGAAGUCUCUUGGGACGUAAACUCCUUUCGAUCGGGACGAUUAUGACGGUACCGGAAGAAGAAGCCCCGGCUAACUUCGUG
rnacentral:rRNA from 1 species